rnacentral:rRNA from 1 species
GGGAAAUUUUGGACCAUUGGGCACCCUGAUCCAGCAUGCCGCGUGUGGGAGAAGGCCUCGGGUUGUAAAGCACUUUCAGCGAGGAAGAACGCCUAGUGGUUAAUACCCAUUAGGAAAGACAUCACUCGCAGAAGAAGCACCGGCUAACUCCGUGCCAGCAGCCGCGGUAAUACGGAGGGUGCAAGCGUUAAUCGGAAUUACUGGGCGUAAAGCGCGCGUAGGUGGCUUGAUAAGCCGGUUGUGAAAGCCCCGGGCUCAACCUGGGAACGGCAUCCGGAACUGUCAGGCUAGAGUGCAGGAGAGGAAGGUAGAAUUCCCGGUGUAGCGGUGAAAUGCGUAGAGAUCGGGAGGAAUACCAGUGGCGAAGGCGGCCUUCUGGACUGACACUGACACUGAGGUGCGAAAGCGUGGGUAGCAAACAGGAUUAGAUACCCUGGUAGUCCACGCCGUAAACGAUGUCGACCAGCCGUUGGGUGCCUAGCGCACUUUGUGGCGAAGUUAACGCGAUAAGUCGACCGCCUGGGGAGUACGGCCGCAAGGUUAAAACUCAAAUGAAUUGACGGGGGCCCGCACAAGCGGUGGAGCAUGUGGUUUAAUUCGAUGCAACGCGAAGAACCUUACCUACCCUUGACAUCGACAGAAGCCGAGAGAGAUCUUGGUGUGCCUUCGGGAACUGUCAGACAGGUGCUGCAUGGCUGUCGUCAGCUCGUGUUGUGAAAUGUUGGGUUAAGUCCCGUAACGAGCGCAACCCUUGUCCUUAUUUGCCAGCGCGUAAUGGCGGGAACUCUAAGGAGACUGCCGGUGACAAACCGGAGGAAGGUGGGGACGACGUCAAGUCAUCAUGGCCCCUACGGGUAGGGCUACACACGUGCUACAAUGGCCGGUACAAAGGGCAGCGAGCUCGCGAGAGUCAGCGAAUCCCUUAAAGCCGGUCUCAGUCCGGAUCGGAGUCUGCAACUCGACUCCGUGAAGUCGGAAUCGCUAGUAAUCGGAAUCAGAAGCC